rnacentral:lncRNA from 1 species
CCCAGUGCCUCCCAGUUCAUCCCAGUAUGGCCCAGUGCCUUCCCAGUUCAUCCCAGUCCUUCCCAGUUUGUCCCAGUUCAUCCCAGUUUGUCCCAGUUCGUCC